GUUGUUCGGAAUUACUGGGCGUAAAGGGCUCGUAGGUGGCCAACUAAGUCAGACGUGAAAUCCCUCAGCUUAACUGGGGAACUGCGUCUGAUACUGGAUGGCUUGAGUUUGGGAGAGGGAUGCGGAAUUCCAGGUGUAGCGGUGAAAUGCGUAGAUAUCUGGAGGAACACCGGUGGCGAAGGCGGCAUCCUGGACCAACACUGACACUGAGGAGCGAAAGCCAGGGGAGCAAACGGG
rnacentral:rRNA from 1 species